CACUACUAAAAGCAGCAGUUAGAUGUGGAAACUAAUUGAAAAUAUGUGAAAAGCAAGGUUAAUGUCUGACACUGCAGGUACACUUCUGCUGGUCAAUCUGAACAGAUGGAGCUUCAUUCACUGCUAUUGAGUAACUUCUGAGUCCAGCUGAGAAAACCAAACAUUGUCAGGUCCUCAAGUGAGAAGCAGAGAACACAGAAAUACCCAUGCACAAAUAUAAAUGAAGUUUUAAAGUGG